rnacentral:rRNA from 1 species
AUUGAACGCUGGCGGCAGGCCUAACACAUGCAAGUCGAGCGAGGGGCGGAGGGGAGUGUAAUGUCUGGGAAACCGCUUGAUGGAGGGGGAAACAUAGGGAAAACGGUAUCAAAAACCGCAUAGCAGCAGAUGUGCCCAGGUGGGAUUAGCUAGUAGGUGGUGUAAUGGCUCACCGAGGCGACGAUCCCUAGCUGGUCUGAGAGGUUGAACAGCCACACUGGAACGGAGACACGGUCCAGACUCCUACGGGAGGCAGCAGGGGGGAAUAUUGCGCAAUGGGCGCAAGCCUGAUGCAGCCAUGCCGCGUGUGUGAAGAAGGCCUUCGGGUCGUAAAGCACUUUCAGCGGGGAGGCGUUACCCGCAGAGGAAGCACCGGCUAACUCCGUGCCAGCAGCCGCGGUAAUAC